rnacentral:rRNA from 1 species
AGAGUUUGAUCCUGGCUCAGAACGAACGCUGGCGGCAUGCCUAACACAUGCAAGUCGGACGCUUUCGGGGGUUUCGGCCUCCGAGGGAGUGGCGGACGGGUGAGUAGCGCGUGGGAACCUGCCCCGUUGUGGGGGAUAACCGAGGGAAACUUCGGCUAAUACCGCAUGCGCCCGGGGGUAACUCCGGGGGAAAAGAUUUAUCGCAGAGGGAGGGGCCCGCGUCGGAUUAGGUAGUUGGUGGGGUAACGGCCUACCAAGCCUGUGAUCCGUAGCUGGUCUGAGAGGAUGAUCAGCCACACUGGGACUGAGACACGGCCCGACUCCUACGGGAGGCAGCAGUGGGGAAUAUUGGACAAUGGGCGCAAGCCUGAUCCAGCAAUGCCGCGUGAGUGAUGAAGGCCUUAGGGUUGUACAGCUCUUUCGGCGGGGACGAUGA